UUCCGGUUGAUCCUGCCGGACCUGACUGCUAUCGGAUUGAUACUAAGCCAUGCGAGUCAUUGUAGCAAUACAAGGCAUACGGCUCAGUAACGCGUAGUCAACCUAACCUAUGGACGGGAAUAACCUCGGGAAACUGAGAAUAAUGCCCGAUAGAACACUAUACCUGGAAUGGUUUGUGUUCCAAAUGAUUUAUCGCCAUAGGAUGGGACUGCGGCCUAUCAGUUUGUUGGUGAGGUAAUGGCCCACCAAGACUAUUACAGGUACGGGCUCUGAGAGGAGUAGCCCGGAGAUGGGUACUGAGACACGGACCCAGGCCCUAUGGGGCGCAGCAGGCGAGAAAACUUUGCAAUGUGCGAAAGCACGACAAGGUUAAUCCGAGUGAUUUGUGCUAAACGAAUCUUUUGUUAGUCCUAGAAACACUAACGAAUAAGGGGUGGGUAAGUUCUGGUGUCAGCCGCCGCGGUAAAACCAGCACCUCAAGUGGUCAGGGUGAUUAUUGGGCCUAAAGCAUCCGUAGCCGGCUCUGUAAGUUUUCGGUUAAAUCUGUACGCUUAACGUACAGGCUGCCGGGAAUACUGCAGAGCUAGGGAGUGGGAGAGGUAGACGGUACUCGGUAGGAAGUGGUAAAAUGCUUUGAUCUAUCGAUGACCACCUGUGGCGAAGGCGGUCUACCAGAACGCGUCCGACGGUGAGGGAUGAAAGCUGGGGGAGCAAACCGGAUUAGAUACCCGGGUAGUCCCAGCUGUAAACUAUGCAAACUCAGUGAUGCAUUGGCUUGUGGCCAAUGCAGUGCUGCAGGGAAGCCGUUAAGUUUGCCGCCUGGGAAGUACGUACGCAAGUAUGAAACUUAAAGGAAUUGGCGGGGGAGCACCACAAGGGGUGAAGCCUGCGGUUCAAUUGGAUUCAACGCCGGG
rnacentral:rRNA from 1 species